rnacentral:lncRNA from 1 species
AAGAGUAUGUAAUGAUUUGGCAUCCUCUGGCUUUCUAGUUGCAGAAUAGUAUCUAAUUAGUUGGCAACCUCAGUAAUUCUAGUUGCACAACAAUAUACAACUGGUUGACAUCCUCAUCUUCUCUAGUUGCACAAGAACUCAGAUUAGUCCCAUCUAAAAAAAUUGAGGAUUGCCCAACAGUAUCUAACGACUUGGCACCCUCGGGUUUUCUAGUUGCAGAAGAGUAUUUAUUUAGUUGGCACCCUCAGCAAUUCUAGUUGGACAACAGUAUCCAAGUAGUUGACAUCCUCAGCCUCUCUAGUUGCACAAGAAUUCAGAUUAAUCCCAUCUUAAAAAUUUUGAGGGAUUGCCCAACAGUAUCUAAUAACUUGGCACCCUCAGGUUUUCUAGUUGCAGAAGAGUAUCUAUUUAGUUGGCACCCUCUACAAUUCUAGUUGGACAACAUUAUCCAAGUAGUUGACAUCUUCAGCCUCUCUAGUUGCACAAGAAUUCAGAUUAAUCCCAUCUUAAUGUUAGGAUUAAUCUUGAUUAUGUAUUUGCAUUGUAUUUUCGUUUAGCAUGUAGUCUAGUGUAGGUUGAUGUUUGUCCCGUGAAGCUUCAGCUCAGCAUGCAGAGGAGGCGAGAUGUUGGGCUGCCGUGCGAUACGGCGAGCACGGCGAGAUGCCGAUGGCAGCGUGAGGCUGCAGUGCUACGCGAGGCAGCAUGGCCGUGUGAUGCGGCAAGCGCGUGAGAGGCUGGAGCGUGACGGGCUGCAUGAAGAGGUUGAACCGGGCGAUCCGGCAAGUCAUUAUCAGCUGUAUACAUGCUAGUUUGGUUGGGUCUAUGGCCGUUCAUGAGGCUGCCUAAGUACUGGCUGUGCAUGUAGUUCUGCAUGUUGAGGGGGUUAGAUGCAUAGUCGUUAGGAUCCUGCAGAGAUGCCUGGAGUAGGAUAAGGCCAGUUAGUGAGUGUGGUAGUGCAUGCAUGGAUUAGUUUGUUAGUGGCCGAGCGUGGCGGCCUGUUAGUUCGUGCGUGACUUAGUGGCCCGGCCAGGUUGUGCGUGAGGGCCAACAGUCUAUGUAUAUAUAUGUCACACUGAGCAAUGAGAAAAUAGAGGCCGUGAGGGCUCAAGAGAAAAGAUGUAGCACUUGUGGUUGCCAAGAAAGAGUACCUCUCGGCAAAGUUAGUUGUUUUUCUUCCUUGUUAUACAUGCGUGUGUGUGUGCAGUUUCACCAUGUGUGUGUGUGUUCUUGAGAGAAACCAUAGAAGAGAAGAAGAGAGGAACCCAAAGAGAGUUGUGGGAGGCAGCUCGAGGUAGAAGAAAAGCGGCGCUGCCAGAGGCGGCGCCAACACUUAAAAAAUCUGAGGAUUGCCCAAUAGUAUCUAAUGACUGGCACCCUCAGGCUUUCUAGUUGCAGAAGAGUAUCUAUUUAGUUGGCACCCUCUGCAAUUCUAGUUGGACAACAUUAUCCAAGUAGUUGACAUCCUCAACCUCUCUAGUUGCACAAAAAUAUCUCAUUAGUUGGCAUCAUCAGCAUUUCUAGUCGCACAAGAAUAUCUCAUUAGUUAUCAUCACUAGUAUUUCUAGUUGCAGAACAAACGGGAUAUCAAGUUGCCAUCCUCAACUUUUUAAUCUAGUUUUCCAGAGAACAAAUAUUUGUAUGUAAUGAUAACUAAUCACCUCUGCCUUUUUUUGCAAACCCCAAGAUAUUGUUCAAGGAAAUGGGAGUAAUGAAGCAGAUAAUGUUGAACGACAGUCACAAGCUGGCUACCUGAUGGAGACUGCCUGGUACGCCUCUCUCCUCCCUCUUCUUUACCACUUCCGUUCUUGCGUUCAUUGCUUUGCCAUGAUAGCUCUGUUUUGGAUCCAGGCUAGGACCCUUUCUUUCGUUGAGAAGAAGAAGAAGGAGCCCUGUGGAGAAGGAAGUGUGGGCGAGGGGUGCGUGGAGGCUUCGGGAGUUAGUGGGCUAUCAUGUGAUACCGAUUGGCCUUUGUUUUCUGAUUCUUCACGGAUUUUAGGGGUCGGAACGAAGUUUUCUUUAUGGGAACAGUGGGGACAAAAAGUUACCUUUUCCGUCCGGCCGCUCGCGAGCGCUAACAGGCCAACGGCCGCUAGCCAGACGCGUCCAAUAGAUUUUGGAGUGACAUUAGCACCUUAAAACGGACCUACAACCGUAGCAAAUUUUUGCUAUAGAGUGAUAAUGCUAGUAGUAUGGAGGGGAGCCGCUGAGGAGCAGAGGGGACGGCAGGUGGCCGCAACCAAGUGGAGAACCAUGGCCACUGCGAAGCUUUUGCAGAAGGAUGAAAGGGCAAAGAGCCGGGAGACGACGCAUUUUAUAUGUAAACUACCAACCUGUAACUGAACUCCACUUUCAGCUGCCGUUUCCAAAUUUCAUUAAUGGCACAUAGGAACGGCGAUGAACUCCAAUCGCCGCCGAUACCUCUUCCGACGCUAAACCUCCUGCAAACCACAUCGCUACAGGGCUAAACGGGUGCAUAGCAAGGAGUCGAUCGAGACAUAUACAAGAUACUCAAAGGCCAAUAGGCCCAAUUUAAUAGCAUACCGGAG